GUGCUCACUUGAGCAGCACAAAUGCUAAAACCGGAAUGAUACAGAGAAGAUUAGUACUGCCCCUGCACAAGGAUGUCACACAAAUUUUGAAGUGUUCCAAAUUUUU
rnacentral:snRNA from 1 species